AUGAACGCUGGCGGUCUGCUUAACACAUGCAAGUCGAACGGAAUCCUUAGGGAUUUAGUGGCGGACGGGUGAGUAACACGUAAGAACCUGCCUCUAGGACGGGGACAACAGUUGGAAACGACUGCUAAACCCGGAUGAGCCGAAAGGUAAAAGAUUAAUCGCCUAGAGAGGGGCUUGCGUCUGAUUAGCUAGUUGGUGAGGUAAGAGCCCACCAAGGCGACGAUCAGUAGCUGGUCUGAGAGGAUGAUCAGCCACACUGGGACUGAGACACGGCCCAGACUCCUACGGGAGGCAGCAGUGGGGAAUUUUCCGCAAUGGGCGAAAGCCUGACGGAGCAAGACCGCGUGGGGGAGGAAGGUUCUUGGAUUGUCAACCCCUUUUCUCAGGGAAGAACACAAUGACGGUACCUGAGG
rnacentral:rRNA from 1 species